GUGCCAGCAGCCGCGGUAAUACCGGCAGCCCAAGUGAUGGCCGAUCUUAUUGGGCCUAAAGCGUCCAUAGCUGGCCGCGCAAGUCCAUCGGAAAAUCCACCCGCCCAACGGGUGGGCGUCUGGUGGAAACUGUUCGGCUUGGGGCCGGAAGACCUGAGGGGUACGUCCGGGGUAGGAGUGAAAUCCCGUAAUCCCGAACGGACUACCGAUGGCGAAAGCACUCUGAGAAGACGGCUUCGACAGUGAGGGACGAAAGCUCGGGUCUCAAACCGGAUUAGAAACCCGUGUAGUCC
rnacentral:rRNA from 1 species